UACGUAGGGUGCAAGCGUUGUCCGGAAUUAUUGGGCGUAAGGAGCUCGUAGGCGGUCUGUCGCGUCGGCUGUGAAAACCUGGGGCUUAACUCCGGGCCUGCAGCCGAUACGGGCAGACUAGAGUUCGGCAGGGGAGACUGGAAUUCCUGGUGUAGCGGUGAAAUGCGUAGAGAUGUGGAGGAACACCAGUGGCGAAGGCGACUUUCUGGUCUAUAACUAACACUGAGGCGCGAAAGCGUGGGGAGCAAACAGG
rnacentral:rRNA from 1 species